UACGUAGGGGGCAAGCGUUAUCCGGAUUUACUGGGUGUAAAGGGAGCGUAGACGGCAUUGCAAGUCCGGAGUGAAAGCCCACGGCCCAACCGUGGGACUGCUCUGGAAACUGUAGAGCUGGAGUGCGGGAGGGGCAGGCGGAAUUCCUAGUGUAGCGGUGAAAUGCGUAGAUAUUAGGAGGAACACCGGCGGCGAAGGCGGCCUGCUGGACCGUAACUGACGUUGAGGCUCGAAAGCGUGGGGAGCAAGCAGG
rnacentral:rRNA from 1 species